AUGGCUCAUUAAAUCAGUUAUCGUUUACUUGAUAGACACAUACUACUUGGAUAACCGUGGUAAUUCUAGAGCUAAUACAUGCGAAAAACCGCGACUUCGGAAGCGGUGUAUUUAUUAGAUUAAAGACCAAUGCCCUUCGGGGCUGACUGGUGAUUCAUGAUAACUUCACGAAUCGCACGGCCUUGCGCCGGCGAUGGCUCAUUCAAAUUUCUGCCCUAUCAACUUUCGACUUUAGUGUAGUGGACUAAAGUGGUUGCAACGGGUAACGGAGGGUUAGGGCUCGACCCCGGAGAAGGAGCCUGAGAGACGGCUACUACAUCCAAGGAAGGCAGCAGGCGCGCAAAUUACCCAAUCCCGACUCGGGGAGGUAGUGACAAUAAAUACUGAUACAGGGCUCUUUUGGGUCUUGUAAUUGGAAUGAGUACAAUUUAAAUCUCUUAACGAGGAACAAUUGGAGGGCAAGUCUGGUGGACAAAUCCAGUCCCGUGCUGGCGCCAGCAAGAGCGGGGGGCCCCUGCGGGCCUUCUUUCCCGCUAGUCGAGCACCCGUUCCAUGACGGGAGGGUGCCGGCGAGACAACCUGGAUCGGGGGAGGCUAAGAGGCGCCGCCAGGCGUCUUACGUUGAUCCCGAGCAGAGCACCCGAGGAGCGAUCUUCGGGCUGCCUGUGUAGAGCGCGCAAAGGUGUCGGUCGCUCUCCCCCCCCCCCCGGGGGGAGGCGGCUUAAGGGACGUGCCAUCCGCCUCGAAAGAGGAUUUCCUAUCUCCAGCGCCCGUCACGCUAAGGAUAGGAAGCUGCCGGCUUGCACCGGCAGUGGGAGAUCAAUACGGCCAGCAGCCGCGGUAAUUCCAGCUCCAAUAGCGUAUAUUAAAGUUGUUGUGGUUAAAAAGCUCGUAGUUGAACCUGGGCCUCGCGCAGACCGGUCCGCCUCACCGCGUGCACUGGUCCUGCCGGGGCUUUCACUAGGGGAUUCGCAUGUCCUUCACUGGGCGUGUGCGGAACCUGGACUUUUACUGUGAAAAAAUUAGAGUGUUCAAAGCAGGCCUAUGCUCGAAUACAUUAGCAUGGAAUAAUAGAAUAGGACGUGUGGUUCUAUUUUGUUGGUUAUGGGACCGCCGUAAUGAUUAAUAGGGACAGUCGGGGGCAUCAGUAUUCAAUAGUCAGAGGUGAAAUUCUUGGAUUUAUUGAAGACUAACUACUGCGAAAGCAUUUGCCAAGGAUGUUUUCAUUAAUCAGGAACGAAAGUUAGGGGAUCGAAGACGAUCAGAUACCGUCGUAGUCUUAACCAUAAACUAUGCCGACUAGGGAUCGGGCGAUGUUACUUUUUGACUCGCUCGGCACCUUACGAGAAAUCAAAGUCUG
rnacentral:rRNA from 1 species